rnacentral:piRNA from 1 species
UGUAAAGCUAUACUUACGGGUACCCUGUUC